rnacentral:lncRNA from 1 species
AGCAGGCAGGGGGGCAACAUGACUUAGUCCCAUGAUACCAUUAGCAUGGUGGACCUGGUUCUCUAUUUGUAGAAGGAGGUUAAUUGGAUGAACCUAAAUAUUGCUUUCAAUUUGAUGUCUGUAAUUGUCCGAGACUACAUUACUUGCGUUGCUCCAUGUUCAUCCUAGGAUCCACCUGAAAAGAGCAGCAUUCACAACCCAUGACCACUGUGCCCUAGCCAUCCACUCCCAUCACAGAUUUAGGAGAAGGAGUGGACAUAUUCCCUGCAAAACAAAGGCAACACCAGGCCAGUGAGAAGCCGCAUUACCCGGGGCCUCAGGCAGCAUCAGACGUGGAAAAGAGCAAUUGUCAGAAGACUAUGGUUGAGAUUAAACAAAAUUAUCUCUAAGUAAAGCAUGAAAGUGCCUGGAAUAUAAAAGGCAAAGUAGAAUAAAAAGUAGCUGCUCUCCUGCUGAUGGUGAUUUCUAUGGCGAUGGUGACAAGGACGUUGACUCUCUACUUGGGAUUCAAGAAGCCUGGUCACAUCUGGAAAGGUUGACAAUCUAGGAAGGGAAGAGGAGUUCAUGCUUCAUGUGGUACACCUCCAACUCUCCUCUGAAGGAAAGAAGUAAAUUGUUAUAACAAAGAACACCAGCGAAGUCUUGUCAACAUCACUUUCUGAUGGCAAAGCCCGGUAAAGUUGAAUACAUGAAACUACAUUUCCCAAGAUCCUUUGCCAACUGGCUCGCCAUGAGAUUCAGCCAACGGUAGGUACUAACGGAUGAUUUGAAGUCUGGAGAAGGGCCAUCUUAUGGGAGCAUGUUUCCUUCCCUCUCUGCCUCAGCUUGUGUCAUCUGGAGAAGAGCUCGUCUGUCCUCUAGUAUGUCCCAGGGCUUGCUCCAAUCACGUUGAAGUCCAGCUUCCACUAGCUGGCCCUUGCUCCCAGUUUCCAACAACACUGUCUGCUCUUCUGCUUCCUCCAUUUUGGGGUGCAGUAGUUUCCUGUUUGGGUCAUUGCUAAGACCCUAUUUGCUUUCUCUGGUUUUCCAUCACCAUAUGACCAAUUUUCUGCAUUAAAUUUAUUCUGUUCCAAGUAUU